AUUGAACGCUGGCGGCAGGCCUAACACAUGCAAGUCGAGCGAGCGGCGGACGGGUGAGUAAUGUAUGGAAACCUGCCCGAUGGUGGGGGAUAACUACUGGAAACGGUGGCUAAUACCGCAUACUUUCGGAUGAACCAAUGUGGGAUUAGCUAGUAGGUGGGGUAAAGGCUCACCUAGGCAACGUUCCGUAGCUGGUCUGAGAGGGUGAUAAGCCACACUGGGACUGAGACACGGCCCAGACUCCUACGGGAGGCAGCAGUUGGGAAUAUUCCACAAUGGGCGCAAGCCUGAUGCAGCCAUGCCGCGUGUAUGAAGAAGGCCUUAGGGUUGUAAAGUACUGUCGUCGGAGAAGCGUUACCCGCAGAGGAAGCAACGGCUAACUCCGUGCCAGCCGCCGCGGUAAUUC
rnacentral:rRNA from 1 species